rnacentral:tRNA from 1 species
GGCCGACUGGCCUAAUGGUUAAGGCGUCAGUUUCCGGUGGCAGACGAUAGCUGAAGAUUCUGGGUUCGAAUCCCAGGUUGGUCG